rnacentral:lncRNA from 1 species
AGGCUCUGUUCAAUGGCGACAUGGAGCCGGAGGCCGGCGCUGGCGCCGCGGCCUCUUCGGCCGCGGACCCGGCCAUUCCUGAAGAGGUGAGUGGCGGCGCCAUCCCCCAGUGCUCGCGCGUCGGGGGCUCGGCGGGUGUGGAAUAUCAAGCAAAUGAUUAAGUUGACACAGGAACAUAUAGAGGCCCUAUUGGACAAGUUUGGUGGGGAGCAUAACCCACCGUCAAUAUACCUGGAGGCCUAUGAAGAGUACACCAGCAAGCUAGAUGCCCUUCAGCAGAGAGAGCAGCAGCUGUUGGAAUCCCUGGGUAAUGGAGCAGACUUUUCUGUUUCUAGCUCUGCAUCAAUGGACACCGUUACAUCUUCCUCCUCUUCUAGCCUUUCAGUGCUACCGUC